AUUGAACGCUGGCGGCAGGCCUAACACAUGCAAGUCGAGCGGAUGAAGGGAGCUUGCUCCUGGAUUCAGCGGCGGACGGGUGAGUAAUGCCUAGGAAUCUGCCUGGUAGUGGGGGAUAACGUCCGGAAACGGGCGCUAAUACCGCAUACGUCCUGAGGGAGAAAGUGGGGGAUCUUCGGACCUCACGCUAUCAGAUGAGCCUAGGUCGGUUUAGCUAGUUGGUGGGGUAAAGGCCUACCUAGGCGACGAUCCGUAACUGGUCUGAGAGGAUGAUCAGUCACACUGGAACUGAGACACGGUCCAGACUCCUACGGGAGGCAGCAGUGGGGAAUAUUGGACAAUGGGCGAAAGCCUGAUCCAGCCAUGCCGCGUGUGUGAAGAAGGUCUUCGGAUUGUAAAGCACUUUAAGUUGGGAGGAAGGGCAGUAAGUUAAUACCUUGCUGUUUUGACGUUACCAACAGAAUAAGCACCGGCUAACUUCGUG
rnacentral:rRNA from 1 species